rnacentral:rRNA from 1 species
GAUCAUGGCUCAGGACGAACGCUGGCGGCGUGCUUAACACAUGCAAGUCGAACGGUGAAGCUCCAGCUUGCUGGAGUGGAUCAGUGGCGAACGGGUGAGUAACACGUGAGCAACCUGCCCCUGACUCUGGAAUAAGCGCUGGAAACGGCGUCUAAUACUGGAUACGAGAAGGGCCCGCAUGGGCACUUUCUGGAAAGUUUUUCGGUUGGGGAUGGGCUCGCGGCCUAUCAGCUUG